GUCGGGCGGGAGGAAGGGCUUCCUCUUUAGGCAGCGAGCUGCAAGCGCGGGUUGGUAUGUGGAGGGUUCUAUCUUCCCCUUCGCCGCGUGGUUUCAGCCCUUCUGGCCCCCUCGCGCCGUUGGUGGCGGCGGUUGCCAGCGACGCGGGGGGUGAAGAAGCGCCCGGGCGGCGGUGCCAGGAUGGCGACGCCUCUCUCAGGUCAGUGUUGCUCACUUAAGAUGACCUUUUGAAGAUGGGGUAAAUGUAAGCUUCUGGAAGAAGUUGCAACUAGCUACUAAUUGGGACUGGGUGAGCUGGACUGCCAGGCUGGCCCCUGUUCACAAGCUUUUCCCUGCCCACCCAUUGCAAUUCCCUGCCCUCCAGUGAAAUAUGGUGUUAUAAGCAGGUUCUUUUCCUACUUACAUGGGAGAGUGCACUCAUUUGCUGGGAAUGCUGCUCAGUUCUAUCUAGUAAAAAGGAGGAGAUGGCACAGAAUGAGAACUGGCUGCAUAAUGAAGUGUCCUGGUACCACUGUGGUGGAUAAAGUGAGUGUUGCUGGUGCUAAAGCAGCCUCCAGGACCUGUGCACCCUCUCGCCCUCUAACUAGAUGGCUUUCGUCCCCCUCCCCCUGCCACCAAUGUGGUACUACUUUCCAAACCAAGUAGUGUACAUCCAAAAUUGUGGCUUUUUACCCAAUUGUAUAUAUGUAUAAUUUUUAUAUUUUAAUGCAAGAAUUUAAUUUCUGUAUUAAUAUAUACUUAUAAAAUGUUAAACUAUAUUAAAUGGUCCUUCUAGGAUCCAGAACUACUACAAUAAAAACCAGAAACUAAGUGAAGCCUCUGCCUCUUCCAUUCCCCAAAAUACAUAUUUGUGUACACUGAAGUUUUAACUUCUACUUUAUGAAAAAUAGAAACUUUGAUAUCUUUAACUUUGUUGCAGGAGAGCUCAGUGUAAAGCAGUUUUUAGACUAACCCCAAAAUGUUGUAAAAUUACUUCCCAAUCUAUUUGAAAAGUACUUUAGGCAUCUCUCUAAGCAGAAAUUCAGCAAAUAAUGUCAAAACUAGUGGAAAUAUUCUUAGGAGGCAUGAAACCACCUCUGUCUGGAACAGUUUGUCUCAAAUAACCCUCCAUGCUAAUGUUCAGUGGGAGAACCACAUCCAUUAAAGACAGUGGCCU